AGGGGGUGCGACCCGGCCGGCCGCCGGGCGCGGUCACGGCGGGGCGAACUCCGGUCAACGGAAACGGGCAGGUCCGUGGGCGGAACGGGUGAGUCACGCGUGAGGAACCCGGCCUUCAGAGGGGGACAACAGUUCGGAAACGACUGCUAAUACCGCAUAACACAUAGGUGUCGCAUGGCAUUUAUGUCAAAGAUUUAUCGCUGAAAGAUGGCCUCGCGUCUGAUUAGCUAGUUGGUAGGGUAACGGCCUACCAAGGCGACGAUCAGUAGCCGGACUGAGAGGUUGGCCGGCCACAUUGGGACUGAGAUACGGCCCAGACUCCUACGGGAGGCAGCAGUGGGGAAUAUUGGGCAAUGGGCGCAAGCCUGACCCAGCAACGCCGCGUGAAGGAAGAAGGCUUUCGGGUUGUAAACUUCUUUUGACAGGGAAGAGUAGAAGACGGUACCUGUCGAAUAAGCCACGGCUAACUACGUGCCAGCAGCCGCGGUAAUACGUAGGUGGCAAGCGUUGUCCGGAUUUACUGGGUGUAAAGGGCGUGUAGCCGGGUUGACAAGUCAUAUGUGAAAUCCUGCGGCUUAACCGCAUAACUGCAUUUGAAACUGUUGAUCUUGAAUUACUGAAAGGCAGACGGAAUUCCUAGUGUACCGUUGAAUUGCGUAGAUAUUAGAAAGAUCACCAUUGGCGAAAGCUGUCUUUUGGACUGCUAUUGACGUUGAGCCCCCAAAGCCUUAGGAAACAACAGGAUUACAU
rnacentral:rRNA from 1 species